GCAUGCGCCCGCCCAGUGCCCGCCCCUCAACCUGGAGUUGAUGUCACAUCCGGCGGCGGCGGCAGCGGUGCUGAGUUUUGUCUCCCGGGUCGUGGGGGCGCGCGCGGAUGUCCCAGGUGUCCCGCCGUCUCCCUCCUUUCCGCAGGACUCGCCCCUCCUGGCCCUGGGCCCCAACGGUGCCCGCCUGCCCGGAGGUCGGUCAGCGCAAAGGGCACGGCUUCCUCUGCUUCUCCCGGACCACUUAGUCUCAACCCGGAAUGAAAUAUGACUGACGACUCUCAGAGAAACUUUCGUUCAGUAUAUUAUGAGAAAGUAGGGUUUCGUGGAGUUGAAGAAAAGAAAUCAUUAGAAAUUCUCCUAAAAGAUGACCGUCUGGAUACAGAGAAACUUUGUACUUUUAGUCAGCGGUUCCCUCUCCCAUCCAUGUACCGUGCAUUGGUAUGGAAGGUGCUUCUAGGAAUUCUGCCUCCACACCAUGAGUCCCAUGCCAAGGUGAUGAUGUAUCGUAAGGAGCAGUACUCGGAUGUCCUUCAUGCCCUGAAAGUCGUUCGCUUUGUUAGUGAUGCCACACCUCAGGCUGAAGUCUAUCUCCGCAUGUAUCAGCUGGAGUCUGGGAAGUUACCUCGAAGUCCCUCUUUUCCACUGGAGCCAGAAGAUGAAGUAUUUCUUGCUAUAGCUAAAGCCAUGGAGGAAAUGGUGGAAGACAGCGUCGACUGUUACUGGAUCACCCGACGCUUUGUGAACCAAUUAAAUACCAAGUACCGGGAUUCUUUACCCCAGUUGCCAAAAGCGUUUGAACAAUACUUGAAUCUGGAAGACGGCAGACUGCUGACUCAUCUGAAGAUGUGUUCCGCGGCGCCCAAACUUCCUUAUGAUCUCUGGUUCAAGAGGUGCUUUGCGGGAUGUUUGCCUGAAUCCAGUUUACAGAGCUGGAGACUGGCUUGUCCUCUUCUGGAUGGAGGCUUUGAAUGGACCCCAGGACCAUGGACCCCAGGGACCCCCCUGCCCCAUCCCCGCCACACUGGGACAAGGUGUCAGUGACCACUCCAGGGAAGCUUCAUUGCUCAGUGCCCGAAGGCCCUUGUUAAAAACCCUGGUUGUCCCUGAGGUGGUCACCACAACAUGGCCACAUCAACAGCGUCCCUCACAGGACUCCCAGACCACACACACCAGAAGGGUCUGCCCGGGAAGCCUGAGCAGAGUGAUGGAGCAGGGGACGGGAAGUGAGGCUGGCGGAAGUGAGCAAGGACCACACUGUCACUGCGGAUGCCACACUGCAGAGCCAUCAUCUGUUAAAUUAGAACCCGGGAGAUCAGGGGAUUGACGGUCACCACACUCACUCCUAUACAAAGACAAACUAUGUACAGACACCCAGGAAGCCACUGGAAAAUGCAACCGGUCUGGGGAUUAACAGACAGAUAGGGAGAAAAAGUCAUUGAAGGUGACCUUUGCCCACCGGCUGUGCACAGGGAGAACCUGAAAUUCCAUUCAUCGAAGCAACACACCACGAUUUUCAUUCGGCAAAUAAAAAUACAUGUUCAUAAGCGGGAGAAAAAUAAAAUCAGAGCUUUUCAUCACAUUUACCGUCACGUUGUUUGGUUUCUCUAAUCUGACAUAAAGGCUAAAGUUUUAAAAGUUUUACAGGGCUUUGAGGGCCUUUGGAGAUGAAUAUAUCAGCCAUUUAAAAAAAGCUAGUAGGCUGAUGGCGAUCUCUUCUGUCAUUGAUUGGGGGCAGGGGGCAGGAUCGGGCAAUGUCUAAUCUUUAGAAGGAAGCAUUUGAUUUGAGACAUUUCACAUUUUUCCUCUCACACUAAUCCAAAUGAAAAAAUGCUCAACUGGGAAUUUAUACACAUAAAAUAAACUUUGACUUGCCAGCUGCAGCUUUUUCAAAAAAGAGAUGCAUUUUAAGUCAUCUAGCUCACCCUUUUAUUUUUUCCCUUAAUUAAUGUCAAAUUGUCAUCUUGGAAAGUAACACAAAUUGCUACAGUUGUCAUGAUGUUGUAGCUGAGAAAAAAAGAAAGAAAAUUGAAUAGGUCUCUGGAAAGACCUUAAGGUUUUAAGAAAGGAAAGAGACAGCAGAAGGCCCAUCCUGCAGGCCACAGAGGUUGCUGAGCCUGUGUAAGAGCCACUUAAAACAGGCUUGAAAUAGCCCAUCCUGAAGGCGCAGGACCUGUCAAUGGCAGGGGAGGUGCACCCCUCAGUCUGAGCAAGUGACUUCUGGAAAAGAGGUCCUGCAGGAAGAGCAGUGGAAAUUGUGUUCAAUAUCUUCCAUGCACAAAGUGGACUGCAACACGAGGGCACUUUGGGCGGAAACCCUGGGCUGUUUGCUGGCUGGCUGCAGGGAGAGCCACUUGGGCCUUAUAUCCCCAGGGAAUCUGAAGGGCCAAGAACCAAGGCCAGCAGAGAAGCCACGGGCCUGUCAUGGGAGGGAGUCCAGUCAAUGGAAUGAAUUUCCUUAGGACUCGCUCCUGGUCAUGGAGGACCAUCAUGCCAGUGCACCACGUGUGCCAGGAGCCCAGCUGCAGUUAGAGGAAGUUCAGACUCAAAGCCUGGCCGGCAGGCACCUCCACCUGGAACACAUGCCCGCCCACCCGCCGUAGAGAAGUUCAACGAAAGAGCCCUGCAUCUUUCGUCAUACCAUUUGCACAUUCAAACGUCAGUAAGCCUUUCGGGAAGACUGUGUUUACAGCCACACUAAAAUCCCGAUCACAUUUUCCCUGAACAAUACCUCUCCCCACGGCAGGAACUAUUCGGAUUCAAGAGUUUAAAAAAAAAAAAAAAAAAAAAAGGAUCUAGUGAUGGCAUCCUCCUUGGGUUGGGCAGAGGCGUGCUGGCUCCAGGUGGCAAGGCAAAGCUGCAGCUGGAGGCACCGCCCAAAGAGCUGCCCUGAACUCUCCCCAGCAGUUGUCCGGCUCCUGGGUUAGUGCCUACAUGAGAGCCGUUCAUGCCUGCAAAAAAAUGCAAUGGCCUCGUUGACAGGUGUGCAUCCUAAGAGUAACCUUCUCCCACAGGGUUCGUGGUGGGAGACUGGUUAACUUUUUGGAAAGGCCAAGCUGGCAUCUUUCUAAAUGGCAUGUGUGGUGGAGAGUGUGCCACCACCUAGAAAGACUGGGGUAACAAUGGAGUCACUCCAGAAAGUGAGAGAGCUCUGUGACUGAGGAUCUGCGAGCUCUGUUAGGAAGGAAAACGAAAGCUGCAAUGGGCCUCAUUAGGAUGCUUGUUAGGGUUUAGGAGGGUCCUGGCCUCAUUGCACACCCUACCCUGGGUAUCCCAGUCAGAGACAUACCCACAAUCACGCUUCCCGGCAUCAUGAGGGAGAGGGAAGAGCUCUCUGGAUCAACUGGAGCAGGAAGGGGCACUGUGGGCAGCUGUGGCUGGUGUUGGCCUGAUUCUGGCACAUGCCCAACUCCGGGGCUCCUUCACAGAAACUCUUCAGUGCAAAAA